rnacentral:rRNA from 1 species
AGAGUUUGAUCCUGGCUCAGAGUGAACGCUGGCGGCAGGCCUAACACAUGCAAGUCGAACGGCAGCACAGUAGAGCUUGCUCUAUGGGUGGCGAGUGGCGGACGGGUGAGGAAUGCGUCGGAAUCUGCCUUUUUGUGGGGGAUAACGUAGGGAAACUUACGCUAAUACCGCAUACGACCUACGGGUGAAAGUGGGGGACCUUCGGGCCUCACGCAGAAAGAUGAGCCGACGCCGGAUUAGCUAGUUGGCGGGGUAAAGGCCCACCAAGGCGACGAUCCGUAGCUGGUCUGAGAGGAUGAUCAGCCACACUGGGACUGAGACACGGCCCAGACUCCUACGGGAGGCAGCAGUGGGGAAUAUUGGACAAUGGGCGCAAGCCUGAUCCAGCCAUGCCGCGUGUGUGAAGAAGGCCUUCGGGUUGUAAAGCACUUUUGUCCGGAAAGAAAUCCAAUCGAUUAAUACCCGGUUGGGAUGACGGUACCGGAAGAAUAAGCACCGGCUAACUUCGUGCCAGCAGCCGCGGUAAUACGAAGGGUGCAAGCGUUACUCGGAAUUACUGGGCGUAAAGCGUGCGUAGGUGGUUUGUUAAGUCUGAUGUGAAAGCCCUGGGCUCAACCUGGGAACGGCAUUGGAUACUGGCUUACUAGAGUGCGGUAGAGGGUAGUGGAAUUCCCGGUGUAGCAGUGAAAUGCGUAGAUAUCGGGAGGAACAUCUGUGGCGAAGGCGACUACCUGGACCAGCACUGACACUGAGGCACGAAAGCGUGGGGAGCAAAACAGGAUUAGAUACCCUGGUAGUCC